AGAGCGGCGCACGGGUGAGUAACGCGUAUGCAACCUACCCCUUACCGGGGGAUAGCCCGGGGAAACCCGGAUUAAUACCCCAUGGUAUGAAGAUGUGGCAUCACAACUUUAUUAAAGAUUUAUCGGUAGGGGAUGGGCAUGCGUAGGAUUAGUUAGUUGGCGGGGUAACGGCCCACCAAGACUGUGAUCCUUAGGGGUUCUGAGAGGAAGGUCCCCCACACUGGCACUGAGAUACGGGCCAGACUCCUACGGGAGGCAGCAGUAGGGAAUAUUGGGCAAUGGGCGGGAGCCUGACCCAGCCAUGCCGCGUGCAGGAAGAAGGCGUUAUGCGUUGUAAACUGCUUUUAUACGGGAAGAAAAGGCCCAUGCGUGGGACAUUGCCGGUACCGUAUGAAUAAGCACCGGCUAACUCCGUGCCAGCAGCCGCGGUAAUACGGAGGGUGCAAGCGUUGUCCGGAUUUAUUGGGUUUAAAGGGUGCGUAGGCGGCUUUUUAAGUCAGCGGUGAAAGUCUGUGGCUCAACCAUAGA
rnacentral:rRNA from 1 species